AAUAAAUCAUAUGACUGGCGGAAGUGGAAUUAACCACAGGGAGUAUGAUUUAGAAAUUUAAGUUAGAAUGUCGACCGCCUGGGCAAUAAAA
rfam:Clostridium botulinum A str. ATCC 3502 complete genome